rnacentral:rRNA from 1 species
AGGGGGCCUCAAAGCCUACCGACCUCUAUCAAACUUCGAAUGGCAUAUUAUCUAGACCUCGGGAGUCAGACAGUGGGAGAUAAGUUUCAUUGUCAAAAGGGAAACAGCCCAGAUCGCCUGCUAAGGUCCCAAAGUGAUGGUUAAGUGGAAAAGGAUGUGCAAUUGCGCAGACAACCAGGAUGUUGGCUUAGAAGCAGCCACACAUUUAAAGAGUGCGUAAUAGCUCACUGGUCGAGUGAUUCAGCGCCGAAAAUGUCCGGGGCUAAAACCAUCCACCGAAGCAGCGGGUACACGUGAGUGUGCGGUAGAGGAGCGUCGUUUAUUGGGUUGAAGCCAUACCGGAAGGAGUGGUGGACUAUAAACGAGAGAGAAUGCCGGUAUAAGUAACGAGAGAAGAGUGAGAAACUCUUCCGUCGAAAGCCUAAGGUUUCCUGGGGAAGGUUCGUCCGCCCAGGGUAAGUCGGGACCUAAGCCGAGGACAAGAGUCGUAGGCGAUGGACAACAGGUGGAGAUUCCUGUACCGCCGUAUAUCGAUGAAAGCGCAGUGACGCAGGAGGAUAGGACGAGCAGGGUGAUGGUAGGCCCUGUGCAAGCGUUAAGGCUGGUGGGUAGUGAAGUACGCCCACUGAAAAGGCUAAGGCGUGAUGCGGAGCGAAAUUUACAGUAGCGAAGCGUCCGAUUUCACACUGACAAGAAAAGCUGCGUGGGAGGUAUAAGGCGCCCGUACCGCAAACCGACACAGGUAGGUGAGGAGAGAAUCCUAAGACGAGCGGGAGAACCACAGUUAAGGAACUCGGCAAAAUGACCCCGUAACUUCGGGAGAAGGGGUGCCUGCGAAUGCAGGCCGCAGAGAAGAGGCCCAAGCGACUGUUUAGCAAAAACACAGGUCUGUGCGAAAGCGAGAGCUUAAGUAUACGGGCUGACGCCUGCCCGGUGCUGGAAGGUUAAGGGGAAAUGUUAGGGUAACCGAAGCAUGGAGUAAACGGCGGCCGUAACUAUAACGGUCCUAAGGUAGCGAAAUUCCUUGUCGGGUAAGUUCCGACCCGCACGAAUGGCGUAACGACUUGGGCGCUGUCUCAACUGUGGACCCGGUGAAAUUGCAGUAUGCGUGAAGAUGCGCAUUACCCGCGACUGGACGGAAAGACCCCGUAGAGCUUUACUGCAGCUUGGCAUUGGAUUUUGGUAAUGGAUGUACAGAAUAGGUGGGAGACUGUGAAGCGAGGCCGUCAGGUUUCGUGGAGUCGCCGUUGGGAUACCACUCUUCCAUUACUGGAGUUCUAACCCCGUGCCGUUAACCGGGCGGGGGACCGUGCCAGGUGGGCAGUUUGACUGGGGCGGUCGCCUCCGAAAGAGUAACGGAGGCGCCCAAAGGUUCCCUCAGAAUGGAUGGAAACCAUUCAAAGAGUGUAAAGGCAGAAGGGAGCUUGACUGCGAGACUGACAAGUCGAGCAGGUACGAAAGUAGGGCUUAGUGAUCCGGCGGUUUUAGAGUGGAAUAGCCGUCGCUCAACGGAUAAAAGCUACCUCGGGGAUAACAGGCUGAUCUCCCCCAAGAGUCCACAUCGACGGGGAGGUUUGGCACCUCGAUGUCGGCUCGUCGCAUCCUGGGGCUGAAGCAGGUCCCAAGGGUUUGGCUGUUC